AUCGCUUCUCAGCCUUUUGGCUAAGAUCAAGUGUAGAGUUUGUGCAAAAUGAACGUUUUAUUAAUUUUUAUUUUUAAAAAGCUUUUUCACCUCAA
rnacentral:snRNA from 1 species